rnacentral:rRNA from 1 species
GGCUACCGCUAUUGGAGUUCGAUUAAGCCAUGCGAGUCGAGAGUCUUAGGGACUCGGCGUACCGCUCAGUAACACGUGGGUAACCUGCCCUAUGCUGGGGAAUAACCUCGGGAAACUGAGAAUAAUGCCCCAUAGUUCACUACGCCUGGAACGGUGAGUGGAUGAAAGCUCCGGCGGCAUAGGAUGGGCCUGCGGCGUAUCAGGUCGUAGGGGGUGUAACGUACCCUCUAGCCAUCGACGCGUACGGGUGUUGGGAGACAUAGCCCGGAGAUGGAUUCUGAGACACGAAUCCAGACCCUACGGGGUGCAGCAGGCGCGAAAACUUGGCAAUGCGAGAAAUCGUGACCAGGGAACUCCAAGUGGCUGGGGUAAGACCCAGUCUUUUCUUGACUCUUCAAAGGUCUUGGAAUAAGAGGUGGGUAAGGACGGUGCCAGCCGCCGCGGUAAUACCGGCGCCUCAAGUGGUAGUCGAUUUUAUUGGGCCUAAAACGUCCGUAGCCUGUUUGGUACAUUCGUGGGUAAAUCAACCAGCUCAACUGGUUGAAUUCUGCGAGCACGGCCAGACUUGGGACCGGGAGAGGUGUGGGGUACGCUCAGGGUAGGGGUAAAAUCCUGUCAUCCUGAGCGGACCACCUGUUGCGAAGGCGCCACACUAGAACGGAUCCGACGGUCAGGGACGAAGCCUAGGGGCACGAACCGGAUUAGAUACCCGGGUAGUCCUAGGUGUAAACGCUGUGGACUUGGUGUUGGGGAUUCUCCGAGGAUUCUCAGUGCCGAAGCGAAGGUGAUAAGUCCACUGCCUGGGGAGUACGGUCGCAAGGCUGAAACUUAAAGGAAUUGGCGGGGGAGCACCGCAACCUGAGGAUUGUGCGGUUU